rnacentral:rRNA from 1 species
GAGCGGCAAACGGGUGAGUAACACGUAAGUAACCUACCUCUAAAUCUGGAAUAACUCUGCCAACGCGGAGCUAAUACCGGAUGUGGUCACGAUGCUGCAUGGUAUUGUGACUAAAGGUGACCUCUCCUUGGAAGUUACCGUNNAGAGAUGGGCUUGCGGACCAUUAGCUAGUUGGUGAGGUAACGGCUCACCAAGGCUACGAUGGAUAGCCGGCCUAAGAGGGUGAUCGGCCACAUAGGGACUGAGAUACGGCCCAGAUUUUUACGGGAGGCAGCAGUAAGGAAUAAAGCGCAAUGGACGAAAGUCUGACGCAGCAACGCCGCGUGAGGGAUGACGCCCUUCGGGUUGUAAACCUUCGCUUGAAUGCGAAAGCAAGCCUUUGUGGGUUAAUAUCCACAGAGUCUGACGGUACCACUCGAGGAAGCUCCGCUAACUUACGGUGCCAGCACGACGCGGGUAAUACGUUAGGGGGCUAGCGUUUGUUCGGAAUCACUGGGCGUAAAGGGAUUGUAGNCGGACCGGUAAGUUAGGAGUUAAAUGUACGGGCUCAACCCGUGAUCUGCUUCUAAUACUGUCGGUCUUGAGUAUGGGAGAGGGAGAUGGAAUUCCAGGUGUANCGGUGGAAUGCGUAGAUAUCUGGAAGAACACCAGUUGCGAAGGCGGUCUCCUGGACCAAUACUGACGCUGAUGCUCGAAAGCUGGGGGAGCGAACAGGAUUAGAUACCCUGGUAGUCCCAGCCGUAAACGAUGGACACUAGUUGCCGGAGGAGUCAAUCCCUUCGGUGACGAAGCUAACGCAUUAAGUGUCCCGCCUGGGGAGUACGCUCGCAAGGGUGAAACUCAAAGGAAUUGACGGGGGCCCGCACAAGCGGUGGAGCAUGUGCUUUAAUUCGAUGCAACGCGAAGAACCUUACCUGGGUUUGACAUGGGGGUGAAAGUUUCCAGAGAUGGAAGCCUUUCCUUCGGGAACACCCCACACAGGUGCUGCAUGGUUGUCGUCAGCUCGUGUCGUGAGAUGUUGGGUUAAGUCCCGCAACGAGCGCAACCCCUGCCCUUAGUUGCCAUCAGGUAAAGCUGGGAACUCUAAGGGGACAGCUUGGUAUAACCAGGAGGAAGGUGGGGAUGACGUCAAAUCAUCAUGGCUCUUACGCCCAGGGCUAGACACGUGCUACAAUGGCAGGUACAGUGGGAUGCCAGCCUGCGAAGGUGAGCUAAUCCCUUAAAACCUGUCUCAGUCCGGAUUGGAGUCUGCAACUCGACUCCAUGAAGUUGGAAUCGCUAGUAAUCGCGGAUCAGCAUGCCGCGGUGAUACGUUCCCGGGCCUUGUACACACCGCCCGUCAAGCCAUGAAAGGCGGUAGUACCCGAAGUCGCGUACCCAACCGU